rnacentral:lncRNA from 1 species
UCUUGGUGAAAGAAGUUUUGCAUAUCUUGUUGUUCCCAAGCAAUCUCUGUUUUCGUUAGUGGUUGGUUGUCACCUCAUCAUUUGAGAUGGGUUUCACAAGUCCACUACAAGCUUCUUCUUUUCGGUGUUGAUUUUACAACAACUCCAUUGAAUCGUUCUUGUAAGGAUGCUCUUCAAUUCAAUUAUGAUGGAAGUUGUCAUUUUCUUCUCCAUUCUCUUCUCUCCACGAUCUAGCUUCUAUUCUUUCAUUCUGAAGGCUUUGUGAUGUUGCUCUCUUUCAUCCAUUAUAUUUUUUAUCAAGAUCAUGGUAUUUCCCUGCUUGUACAUUUAACAAUAGUGUUCUGCCCCCUAUUCAAGUAUUUCCAUCAUUUCAAGUUUUCUCUCUUAUCCAUCGAAGUGUUGCCCAAAUUUCUUUUGAAUUCCUGCCUGUUUCUCAUAUUAUUAUUCAUCUCUUGCAUCCUUCAAGUUUUGUUGGUUUAACUCAUCUCUCAAAGAAGCAACGAAAUUUUACCUCUUCCUUUCUUCUUCCCCUUUCAUUCUAAGAUCUCUCGGCGAGAUCUCUUGUUAGUGGAGGACAGUUGUAAUAGCCCGGAACCGACGCUCCAGAAGAUUCUCCUUUUAUUCCAUUUUCAUCAUGUGAUUCUUGUGUUUGCCGCAUUCAUCAUCACAUUGUGCACAUCAUCGGCACUGCAUCGGCACUUCGUUGCCGUCAUUUUUUUCAAAACUUGCAUCCAUUAUUAGUUACUGGUUCUGUGUGCUUUUGUCGUUGACCAUUUCGAGACCAAGCACAUACGCACGUGCCCGUGGCAUCGUUAAAAUAUUGUUUUUAUAAGUGUGUAUAAUACUUUCCUGGAUUGGGUUGAAAGUUUACGUGCAGUCUUGUUAUAGUGUAGGUAGGCCGCCUGCCAAAUUUCAUCACAAUCGGAGUCCGUUUGAUAACCGAACCGUUAAAUGUAUAUCGACACUAUAACUGGUCAAAGGUCGGAUGUUUUCGGUGUUUCAAAACUUUUCAUGGGCCGCACAUAUCUCUCUUCUCUCAGCCUAGCCCACCGACACAACCCACUAAGCCCACCUAGCCUAGCCCUCCAUUUUGGACCGUCCGAUUACGAUCGUACGGUCGAAACCGAUGCAAAAAAAACAUAACCUUGCUCCCCUACCCAUUUAAAGACCUCCUCUAGUACAUUUUUGGACAACCCUAGUCCAAACCCUAGCCUACCUAGCCGCCUCCCACCUUCGCCUAUGUUUCUGCACCGGCUAGCCUAGCCACCGCCACUUGGCAUGCUGCCGCUUGCCAACCGCCCACCUACACCAUCGCCAGGGCCCAACCGGGUGCUGCCACAUCGCUCCUAGGCCGCCACCUAUCCAUGC